rnacentral:rRNA from 1 species
CGUAGGGUGCGAGCGUUAAUCGGAAUUACUGGGCGUAAAGUGUGCGCAGGUGGCCGCGCAAGUCGAGUGUGAAAUCCCCGAGCUUAACUUGGGAAUUGCGCUCGAAACUACGUGGCUCGAGUGUGGCAGAGGAAGGUGGAAUUCCACGUGUAGCGGUGAAAUGCGUAGAGAUGUGGAGGAACACCGAUGGCGAAGGCAGCCUUCUGGGCCAACACUGACGCUCAUGCACGAAAGCGGUGGGGAGCAAACAGGAUUAGAUACCCUGGUAGUCCACGACCCUAAACGAUGAUGACUAGUUGUUGGGGGAGUUAAAUCCCUUAGUAACGCAGCUAACGCGUGAAGUCAUCCGCCUGGGGAGUACGGUCGCAAGAUUA